rnacentral:lncRNA from 1 species
GGAAACUAGAGAUGAAAUUAAAUGGGAAAUAAUAAUAUAAUAAGAAUAUUCAAUAAGAAGGCAUCGGUAUGUAGAUUACAUCAUUCUUCGAGGAUUUGGUAAAUAAUUAACAUAAAAUAAGGUAAAUAACUUUUAAGUAGGAAAUAUCAAAUUAAAAGACUUUGCCUCACACUCUCGUGUUAUUGACUCGGGCUAUACUCUUAAGCCAAAA